UCUCGAUAACGUAAAAGUUAACUCAAGUUUCUAUGGAGUUUGAACGUUUGCCUACGACUGUCACUAGGGGCGCUGUUCCAACUCCAUACAAAUUUGAGUUAACUUUUACGUUUGGAA
rnacentral:pre_miRNA from 9 species